rnacentral:rRNA from 1 species
AACCCGACUCCACGAAGCUGGAUUCGCUAGUAAUCGCGCAUCAGCCACGGCGCGGUGAAUACGUUCCCGGGCCUUGUACACACCGCCCGUCAAGCCAUGGGAGCCGGGGGUACCUGAAGUGCGUAACCGCGAGGAGCGCCCUAGGGUAAAACUGGUGACUGGGGCUAAGUCGUAACAAGGUAUC